rnacentral:rRNA from 1 species
GAUGAACGCUGACAGAAUGCUUAACACAUGCAAGUCUACUUGAUCCUUCGGGUGAUGGUGGCGGACGGGUGAGUAACGCGUAAAGAACUUGCCCUGCAGUCUGGGACAACAUUUGGAAACGGAUGCUAAUACCGGAUAUUAUGGUUUUUCGCAUGGAGGAAUCAUGAAAGCUGGAUGCGCUAAGAGAGAGCUUUGCGUCCCAUUAGCUAGUUGGUGAGGUAACGGCCCACCAAGGCAAUGAUGGGUAGCCGGCCUGAGAGGGUGAACGGCCACAUUGGGACUGAGACACGGCCCAA